rnacentral:rRNA from 1 species
UACGUAGGGUGCAAGCGUUGUCCGGAAUUAUUGGGCGUAAAGAGCUCGUAGGCGGUUCGUCGCGUCGGCUGUGAAAUCCCGAGGCUCAACCUCGGGUCUGCAGUCGAUACGGGCGGACUGGAGUUCGGCAGGGGAGACUGGAAUUCCUGGUGUAGCGGUGAAAUGCGCAGAGUAUCAGGAGGAACACCGAUGGCGAAGGCAGCUCACUGGGACGGUACUGACGCUGAGACGCGAAAGCGUGGGGAGCAAACAGG